AUCAGAGUGACGUCAUCUCCAAUAUACACCUGUGGGAACUUCGGCAGGAGAGACACUGAGAGAAAAGAAAACAGAUAUAUGGGAGAAGCAUAUUCUCUAACAGCAGAAGACAACAUUUUCCAGCUUCGGUCCACCCCAGACUACACACCUGAGAGCCACAGACUCCCCCUGCAGUGCAGGAACGGCCGGAGGAACCAACAUCACCAUGAGCUCUGAGAAACAGACCAAACACAGAUUGACUCCUAAACUGGAGCGGCUCCCUCCUCUCAACACAGAACAAGUCCAGUCCUUCAGCUCAUCUUCCACCUGCAGCACCAGGUUUCUUCCUUCUCCUUUGGUCAUCACAGCACCUCCUACAGAUGGAGAGA